CGCUAGGUGGCAGUAGACAUCAGUCAGUUCUUCGAGAAAAAGGAUUUCAAACCGCGCACAAGUGGUAAAGGAUUCGGUUGAGUCAUGGUGGUUUUCCGACAAAUUUGCAGCUUUUAACUAGUGGGAUGCACCAGGAUCGUGGAAAACUAAUUCAGUGACCAACACCGUCUUGCGUUGCUGUUGCUGCGAUGCCCGUAACGAAGAUUCAAUGGUGACGUGACGUUUGACGACGUAAGGCAUCUGUGGACCUAUGGAACUCUCCACCCUACUCUCAAAAAAAAAAAAUGGUUUUAAAAAGAUAUUGUCAUCUUCCUGAACGUCAAUUCCGAAAUCUUCGCCUUUGGGUCGUCGGAAAUGUGCCGGAAAAAAGUAUCGAGAAGAAGCGAUAUUUCGAUUGGCUAAUUUCAAGAACGUCGGU